AAAAUGGCCACUAGCAAUCAUUACAGACUGACUGCUUAAAAUACAACUGCAAGUUUUGAGGCAAUAUAAAUUAUGUCAGAAGUCAUCUCAGGUUUGAUGAAAAUUGCUUCGUAAACAGUAAGUAAGUUAUUUAUGGAUCACUGCAAGGACAGAAAUAUGUUGGGCAAGAGCCAGUGCUGGUCUAUUGAACAGAUCCAGCUACAGCGACAGUUAAAGAACAGUGGCAUGAAAAAUGUCGCUGCAAGGCGGAAAAUGUGUCGAGCAAGAGCCACAGCCAAUAAAUCACGGAGGGGAAGCAUUUCCA